rnacentral:rRNA from 1 species
UACGGAGGGUGCAAGCAUUAAUCGGAUUUAUUGGGCGUAAAGGGCGCGUAGGCGGAGAUGUAAGUCAGAUGUGAAAUCCCGGGGCUCAACCUCGGAACAGCAUUUGAAACUACAUCCCUAGAGGGUAGGCGGAGAAAAUGGAAUUCCACAAGUAGCGGUGAAAUGCGUAGAUAUGUGGAAGAACACCAGUGGCGAAGGCGAUUUUCUAGCUUAUUCCUGACGCUAAAGCGCGAAAGCAAGGGGAUCAAACAGG